ACAGUGUUACCGUCUGAAAGGGCACCUGUGUUUUUUCUGUACCAAGCCACUUUCUAUUGGAUGUCCUUCUUUGGGUUUGUGCUCACACUUCUCCUCGGAACUGUCCUUAGCCUAGCGACAGGUGGUGACAAAACUGCUAGGAACAAUGUGUCACUCACAAGCCCUUUAUUCGUGAAGUUAUGGGCACGGUUCAAGUUUUUUCGCCAUAUGCUGAAGCUUGCCGACGACAAGGUGGAGAACGACGCACACGCGUUGCAACAGCGAGAGGUAGAAGAAGAAAACACCGAGACUUCGCCGAUGUGCGAAGGAGAA
rnacentral:lncRNA from 1 species